AGGUCGCGGUGAGUGAGAAGAGCGCUCGCCGGAGGCUCCCGGUCUUACAAAGAGGGAUCCGUCCCGGUGAGGGCGCGCGCUCCGGGCGCACCCCCUCUAGAAGGGGAAUUAGCCCCGCAGCAAGUUCGGCGUCAGCUGGCCAGGCGCGCCGGGGAAGCUGCGUCGGGCAACCGCGAGCCCUUCCAGAGAGCGUUAGUCAGAGCGAAGUUCUGGGCACCUGGAGAAGACCCUCCUCAGUGCCUGUGUCGCCGAGACGGGAAUAACCUUUCAGCCGAUCGAUAACUUGGAGAGAACAGGCGGCGGCGGCUCCUCUUCCAGCCGGGGAUCGGGAGCGCGGGCGCAUCUGCGUCUACAA
rnacentral:lncRNA from 1 species